GCACAGUUUUAGCUCCAGCCUGCCUCUUGUGUGAUCUGCCCUGUAUCUGUCAGACGACUUGAUUCCCCAGCACUAUCCAAAUCCAUGGUGCUUAUUGUGUUAUGAUAUGACCAAUGAAGAGCUGCAACUCACAUGAAGACUUCAGGAAGAAAACUCUUGAAUACUGACAUCAUAAAGCCUUCUGAACAUGUUGGCCAGAUCAAUGUUCUCCCUAAUACCACGUAUUUUUUCCUGCUUCUUGUAGCAGUCUCACUGGUUUUGGAUUCCAGAAGCAUUGUUUAUCUAUGGUCUCCAAGGUGAACCACAAUGCAGCUGCAGAAUCACCUGACGGACAGCUUGCAAUGCAGCAGCAUCAAUUGCUGGUCUGUUAAAUGAGAUGUUGUUUUACAGUAAUGGAAAGAGGCUCAAAAUAAAAUAAAACAACACUA